rnacentral:pre_miRNA from 1 species
UUGGAGGAUUUAAAGACUUCAACUCGCAGACUUAGAGGAUUUGAAGACUUCAACUUGUAGGCUUGGAGGAUUUGAAGACGUCAACU